rnacentral:misc_RNA from 1 species
GAAAACGAAAGGCGUUUUCUGGUCAUCCAUGAAUGAUCAUCAUUUGUGAAUUUUUAUUUGUUAGAAUCCUAACAACUUGGAGUGGAUACUCCACAAGUUUUAGCAACUUUUUUGGCAUUAGGAGAGUUGACAUAUUGCUUAAGGCUUGGAUUCUUAAGAUAUCCACAAAGACAAGGCUUUUGCUCUUUCAACUUAUUGCAACAUUCCUUAGAGGGUGGUUGUGAUGACAGGAUCGCCGCGGCACAUGGAACUAGCUCUGUAACACUGCAUGUCACGGCCUCCGUGACAAGCAAUUCACUAAGAAAAAGGACUAACAAUAUUGCAAUAAAACUACUUCCCUUCUUCAUAUUCAAAGAUUUUGGAGAAAUUUGAGUAAUAGUAAAGGUCG